rnacentral:lncRNA from 1 species
UUAACCCUGAGGGGUAGCUCAGUUGGUCAGGCCUUGGGUUUGCUCCCCAAUGGUCACCAGUUCGAGUCCCCUCAGGGCCACUGGAGGUUUACCCGGUUGUUAACUUCAGGGCCCCGUGGGAUUAGUCGAGGUGCGCGUAAGUUGGCCCGGACAUCCACGGUUAUCAAAAAAAAAAAAAAAAAAAAAAAAAAAAAAUUUGGGUAUGGUUGAACCAAUGGUCCCCUUGGUUACCUACAAUUCUGCAACUUUUCUAAUUUAAUGAUCAAUUUUAUUGGGAAAAUGUUGAUGCAUGAAAUAGGCAUAAUUUUGACAAAUGAUAAUAAUCAAAAGUAGAUAUAAUGCGACAUAGGAAAAGUGUAAUUAAGCUUUAAAAAGUAACAAACCAAGCUUUACCCUUCAACUACUGAUCAUGACCAAAAAACAUGCACACAUGAACCUACUAGAAUUCUUUUGCCUUCCCUGCUCAAUCCAAAGCAUUGAAAAAUAAAAAUAAAAAUAAAAAUCAAGAAUGAAAUAAAAAAAAAAGAAAUUAAUUAUUUUUGUUGUGAGAUCAUGCUGAGG